CGGCUCGCGUGCGCGCGCGUGCGUGCGCGCGUACGCGUGCGUGCGAGCGCGCGCGCGCACUAACGGGCACGCGUACGCGAGCAAGCCACUCGCCAUCCCACUGCACCACACAGAACACAAUUACCUUCUUGUUUCUCACUUGGCUCCAUAUGUCGAUCACCCGGCUUAUGUAUUUUUUUUUUCAAUUUUAGUCGAUCAUCGCUGAAGAAAUUAUUUUGUUUUCGUCCGUCUUAUACUUUUGUCCUCCGCACUCUUUUUUUUUUUGUAUAUCCAACUCGCGCAAAAGUCAAAAGAUUGAGUGCACAAGUGGAUAUUUUUUUUUUGUUUUCCACCAGAGUUAUUAGUUCGGCAAUCUUCACAGCGCAAGUCUUGAGCUGCAGGUCGGCAGGAUCGCAAAAUUGUCAGCCGGACGCCGCUUCCUCCUAUACCCCGCGAUCGAGAGCGCUUCGAGAGGUCAGCUGGAGAAUAAAGAGGAAGACUACAGCUGUCCACACUGACGAGCAGACAUUUCCGAGGAAUCUGGAUACAGCGCCACCAUCUGGAAGUGAGGACAAGAUCAUCUUUUUCAGCCUCGGCUGAUAAGGUACACUUGGCGAAUUGCACGAAUGAGGAAACGCACGUACCAACUUGCCCAACAGCCAUUCACAACCGGGAGUCAAACGCAAGAAGUACUCCAGCAUAGUGCACCGCCCGCCCGACACGGUUACUCGGGUUGCACGGUUGUUACUAGGGUUGCAUGGUUACUGGGUUGCCACGGUUACUAGGGUUGCAUGGUUACUGGGUUGCCACGGUUACUAGGGUUGCAUGGUUACUGGGUUGCCACGGUUGUUACUAGGGUUGCAUGGUUACUGGGUUGCCACGGUUACUAGGGUUGCAUGGUUACUGGGUUGCCACGGUUGUUACUAGGGUUGCAUGGUUACUGGGUUGCCACGGUUGUUACUAGGGUUGCAUGGUUACUGGGUUGCCACGGUUACUAGGGUUGCAUGGUUACUGGGUUGCCACGGUUACUAGGGUUGCAUGGUUACUGGGUUGCCACGGUUACUAGGGUUGCAUGGUUACUGGGUUGCCACGGUUACUAGGGUUGCAUGGUUACUGGGUUGCCACGGUUACUAGGGUUGCAUGGUUACUGGGUUGCCACGGUUACUAGGGUUGCAUGGUUACUGGGUUGCCACGGUUACUAGGGUUGCAUGGUUACUGGGUUGCCACGGUUACUAGGGUUGCAUGGUUACUGGGUUGCCACGGUUGUUACUAGGGUUGCAUGGUUACUGGGUUGCCACGGUUACUAGGGUUGCAUGGUUACUGGGUUGCCACGGUUACUAGGGUUGCCAGCUUUUGUGUUUUUUUUCUUUCUCAGGGACGUCCUCCUGUUGAGCUGGCAGCUGUCAUGGGAAAUCCGUAAAGUUUUCCCGGGAUAUUAAAAGUUGGGAUUAUUGCCAAUUGAGCAACGAUAACCCACCAAAGAAAAUGCAAUUGUGUGUAGUUCUACCCUCUGCCGCUUUUUGUGAGAUAUGCUUCUUCCAACGAUGUUCCAGUCUUGUUGCACAUCCAAGGUGGCAACCCUACAUGGUGCACACUUGCAUGCAUGCAUAUUGGACCUACACAAUACAGUCCAUGGAUUAUUACAUCUCAUCCAUUAUGAUAAUUGCUCAAAUGGAACACUACAUGUUGAGAGUUCCCUAGUUUGUGAACUAUAUUCCCAAUCCUAUAAAACCACUAUUUUACGUGUUAAAAUCGUACACUUAUUCUCAAAAGACGUAUUUUCAUUGUAAAAUGUCCCCGUGAAAUAUGUACAGAGAAAAAAAAUCUAAUCCUGAAAUCUAAUUAGGAUUAGACGAUAUUCGCAUGCCUUUCAUAGGAAAUGCUUAUAUUCUAAGUCAACUGCCUUCAGUGUAAUUUACAAUUCUGUGUGCUUCUCUAGUAAUAAACGCAUCCUAUUUUCCA